rnacentral:rRNA from 1 species
GACGAACGCUGGCGGCAGGCUUAACACAUGCAAGUCGAACGCACCGCAAGGUGAGUGGCAGACGGGUGAGUAACGCGUGGGAACGUACACUUCGGUUCGGAAUAGCUCCGGGAAACUGGAAUUAAUACCGGAUACGCCCUUAGGGGGAAAGAUUCAUCGCCGAAGGAUCGGCCCGCGUCAGAUUAGGUAGUUGGUAGGGUAACGGCCUACCAAGCCGAUGAUCUGUAGGUGGUCUGAGAGGANGAUCACCCACACUGGGACUGAGACACGG